AGAGUUUGAUCCUGGCUCAGGAUGAACGCUAGCGGCAGGCUAAUACAUGCAAGUCGAACGGCAGCAGCACUUCGGUGGCUGGCGAGUGGCGCACGGGUGCGUAACGCGUAUGCAAUCUACCUCUUACUGGGGGAUAGCUUCCGGAAACGGAAAUUAAUACCGCAUAAUAUAUUUGAUUCACAUGGAUUAGAUAUCAAAACUGAGGUGGUAAGAGAUGAGCAUGCGUCCCAUUAGCUAGUUGGCGGGGUAAGGGCCCACCAAGGCGAUGAUGGGUAGGGGGUCUGAGAGGAUGAUCCCCCACACUGGUACUGAGAUACGGACCAGACUCCUACGGGAGGCAGCAGUAGGGAAUAUUGGUCAAUGGGCGAGAGCCUGAACCAGCCAUGCCGCGUGUAGGAAGACGGCCUUCUGGGUUGUAAACUACUUUUACCGGGGAAGAAAACGUCCAUGCGUGGAUAAUUGACGGUACCCGUUGAAUAAGCACCGGCUAACUCCGUGCCAGCAGCCGCGGUAAUACGGAGGGUGCAAGCGUUGUCCGGAUUUAUUGGGUUUAAAGGGUGCGUAGGCGGUUUUAUAAGUCAGUGGUGAAAGACGUCAGCUUAACUGUCGCAGUGCCAUUGAUACUGUAGAACUUGAGUAUAGUUGAGGUAGGCGGAAUUUAUGGUGUAGCGGUGAAAUGCAUAGAUACCAUAAGGAACUCCAAUAGCGUAGGCAGCUUACUAAACUAUAACUGACGCUGAGGCACGAAAGCAUGGGUAGCGAACAGGAUUAGAUACCCUGGUAGUCCAUGCCGUAAACUAUGAUUACUCGAUGUGUGCGAUACAAGUACGCGUCCAAGCGAAAGCGUUAAGUAAUCCA
rnacentral:rRNA from 1 species